UGUUCUCCUGGUGCACCUGUAAUGGAGGGAGAAGGUUGGCAGGGAAGCCCACCUGCUCUUUGUAAAUCCAGGAAGGUGGGAGUAGGGAGCCGCCUUAGGGACCUCCUCCCACCCUCUCUUACAGCUCCAGCAGGACCAGGACUGAGACCCGGGGGCCCACUGAACGGAAAUGUGCCUUGACUGGGGAAGAAGCUGCUGGGAUGGACAUCGAGGCCUCAGGUGGAAUUACAGUGUCUCAGUGCUGGGGGCGGGACGGGGGCAGCCGAUUUGGAAAGAUCUUCCUGAAGGUCCGGUGCUGGGCACCCUUUGGAAGCUCCCCUGAGCGCCCCACCCCCCUGACCCUGGACUGAGCCCUCCUCUAUCCAGCUUCUCCGACACUUGCCCUUACGGGCAAGGGACGGGCAUCCCGGGAGUUGUGCUACCUGGAGGGAGGGAUCUCCUGGGCCCCAUUACCCAGCACAGGGCCAGGCACAUGGAACACGAGGUGAAAUCUAGGUCUGUGACCUCCAUGGCCCCGUCCCCCCUCCCAAUCCCUUUUUCUGUUGGGCCCAGUGCUGCAAGAGCCUUCCCCAGCCCUCGCCAGCUGCUCACGGAGGCCGGAAGCGGCCAUGAAAAGGGCACAGGUUGAUGUCUGGGGACCUGAAUUCGAGGCCCAGCUCUGCCGUUCCCUAGCUGGGUGGCUGGGUUCGUGUUUCUUUGUCUGUAUAAAGAUGAGGAAGGACUGAUCAGGGCUGAAAUGCCUCCCACCUCUAAAUCCCAUUUUACUGGGGAUAAAGCCCCUCCUUUUCUCUGGGGCCCUGUCACAUGACACCUCCAGGAAACCUCCCUGUGGCUCCUCCCCUCCCCCCAACUCACAGGGGCAUCGAUUCAGAAUUCUGUCUUCCCAUCACCCCCUGCUUCCCUCCCUUGUACUGGGACUUGUGUCUCUGGGGCAGAGCUGUCUGAAGGAAGCAGGGGCUGGAGCCCAUCCCGCUGUCAGUAACCCCAAGGCCUGACACUGUGUGGUUCUCAGAAGGAAGCCCUGGAUUGCUCAGUUGCUGUGACCAAGCAGCACCCACUUCCCUCGCCCACUCAGUUCUGGCCCACUCCCAGAGCUCAGUGCUGCUUUGGGGGCCCAGCCCCAUCUCCAUGGAACUAGGUUAGGAGGGGAGGGAGGAGCCCCUUCCCGCUUCCAUCCCUCCACCCCAGGCUGUCUCAUCUGUUGCUGAAGCUCCCUUGGUGACAGCUGAAAGGUGGAGGGGGCUGCUCUCCCUCCAUUCCAUCUGCAGCUCCCAUGCUUGGAGCCCUGCCUUCCAGGUGCUCGUGACCAUCCUGCCUGGCUCGGGUUUUCCUGUCUCUGGGUGUGCUGUGCCCCCUCAGGGGUGCCAGGCCUUGAGGAGAGUCCUGGAGGAGGCUGGGGGGCAUGGAGGCUUCCUAGCAGGGUGCAAGGCCCUUCCCCCUUGCAGCCUUCAGUGUCUUCAUCCAUAAAAUGGGUGUGAUAAUGCUGGGUUUAUAAGCCUUAACAUAGUAUGCAAAUAUGGUGGUGGAAGCUGGUCUUGUUCUCAAAGGGGAGGAGGGCAGGGGCAGAGUGGGGAGAGCUCCCACAACUUGGCCCUGGCAUUGGCUCAAGAGCAGGCGGGCUCCCGGCCAGGGCAGAUGGAAAGUCAGCUUUGUUCAGGGGAGCUCCCCGGCCUGAGCAGGGGGAAGGGACCCUCCACCUGGGGGAUCAUCGGGUUCUGGGCCCUGGUCAGUCCCUCGGAGGCCACGAGCAUCUGGCCCCUAAAUGCCACCUCUUCCCGAGUAAGCUGUUAGGGGGAGGUGGGCCUCAUGGGCUGUGGCCAUCAUGGAGACAACUUGGCAUGAGGAUGGCUGGCCCCGAGAGCAGAAAAGGACCUUCCCUUUCCCUAGCCAUGGGCCUUCUCCCUCACCCUGCCUUCUCAGAGUAUUAAUCCGGGAUUAAAGGUAAACUCGUUCCAAUUGGGAAAGAGAUGUCCUGGUUCUGCACCUUUCCACCAGAUUCCUGGCUCCAGCCCCCCCUCCCCCCAUUCCCUCUGACCUGCAGACAGAUUUAAUCCCCCUGGAGCCUGGGGGAGAGGACAGGCAGUGUUGAAACAGAAGAAAGCACCUUGAACUUCCUCCCCUGGGAGGCCUGGCUGGCUCCAGGAACAAGCCAGGAGUCCCUGCCUGUCUUCAGGAUACAGACCUCUGACCUCUCUUCCCACCUGCCUUUCCAGGCCCACCAGACUGCCUUUGCUUAGGGGCUGCAAGACUUCACUCCCUUGGGAUUUCCCUUCCCUGGCCCAGGAGCCUAGAUCCUUAUUCCUUGGGAUAUACCCUUGCCGUUGUUGGGGAACAGAGGAGGUGGCUGAUGGGGAAGCUCAGAACCCAGGGGUUCCCACUGUAGGGAUGAGAUGGAAGUCGGGGAUCUUAGAUUGAUGCUGUUCCUGCCUUGGUCCUGCCCGGCUGGUUUUCCCAAGGUUCCCUCUUCCAGCGCCCUCUUCCUCCUCGCCAGCAGUCUCCCUAGCAAGCACUGGGACGACUAGUGCUGGGCUGGCCUAGGGAGCUUGGAAGUGCAGGAGAGUCUGGCCAUAGUAAGACCACGUCAACAUUCCCUCCUUCCCUGGACCUGGGCAGAGCGCAGAACAGGUGGGGGGAGGGAAUGGGGAGUUUGAGGAGAAUUGAGGACUGAUUUAGGAUCAUGGGAUAUAAGAGACUGUAGAGCCCCAUGUUAUCCAUCUAAGGGGAGAAACUGAGGCUCUCUAUGCAGGAGCUAGGCCCAGAGACAAGCCUUGGCCUUCUGACUCCAUCUGGUCCUCUGUCCCGUUUCCUGACGGCUCUUUGGAGUCCCCAUGGCUGAGGGACAGAAAUGGAGGGUGGGACGGGGGUCAGGACUCCUGCUGCACCAGAUCCGGGGCCCCUCAGAAAGGGCCAGCUCAUUUUGCAGUAACCCAGCCUGGGUUCCGGGCUCCCGGAUUAAUUAGAGUGCGGGGACUAAUUUUAGUAAUGAUGUUUCACCUCAGCUCAGUGCUCGAUUUCACAAAUUGCUUUUCUGUCUCCAGAGAACAGACACCAAAAUGGAACGGGGACCGGAGCUUGGCGAAAGUCAUUGUUUGACACAUGCGCCGCCUCCCCCUCCCCUCUCCCUGCUGAGCACUGCCCCCUCCUCCCGGCCCCCCCGGGAAUCUAAAAAUGAGGAGAUGCUGAUGAGAUCAGACAGUCGGAGCGCAGACCCAGAAAGACCUUAGAACAGAGAACCCAGAAUGUCAGCCCUGGGAGGGCCCUGACAACCCAGAACACAGAUCGGGGAGGAGCUAAGAGACCAUCAGCUUCACCUCGUGAGGUGAAAAGGAGAAACUGAGGUCCGGGGAGCUGGUCUGGUGUCUGAAGGAGGAGGAGGAGGAACUGACCUGAAAGGGAGCUAUAAACAAACCGGUCAGGGGCACCUGAAGGUGUGAAUUUCAGAGUGGAGAGGGGCAGUGCUAGCUCAAGGGCUGCUGGGAGACAGGGUCAAGUGGACCUUACAAAUGGAGGAGCCAGAGGAGCACAUCUCCAGCGUCUGCUCUGUCAGUUCCCCCUUCCCAGGGUCUUCCUCGACCCCUCUCCCCAGCCCCCACCCCAUGUCCUCCCAAAUCUUGCCUCCAUAUUUUCCUCUCCGUUCCCAUUCUCUGUGUUCCAUUCCCACCUCUCUAGAUUUCCUUGAGCUUGCUCCGUUCAGGCCCCGGGCCAAUUUUCCCCCAUUUGUCCUUCCCUUCCCCCGUUCCCGGUCCUUUCCCCGUGAGCCCAGCGCCCCCCCGCCCCCCACGUCAGGGAGAGCCCUUCAUUUCUUCCCCAUCUCUGGGACGUCUCCUCUCUCAGCCUUCUGCCCUCCCCGGCCGCCCCCAGCAGAGCUGCUGCUGCAGUCGGUACUCACGACGCUGGGGCUCCCACCGCUCACGCUUCUGGCCGCUUCCUCGCCGCUCCCCGCUUCCCGGGGGCUCUGGGGUCGCUAGUCCCGCGCCUCCAUCGGGCCCCCGGGCCGGUUGCUCCGGACUUGGGAAAGGUCCGUGGCCGGGGAGGCGGGGAGAGUGGGGAUCCCAGAGCGCGGCCGGGGCUGCUUCGCCGGCGGAGGCGGAUCCCCCCGGGCCUCCCCACACCUCGGCUCUGGCUGCCCCGGGCUCGGAGUUCCGGCUCCGCUGGCUCGGCUCCGCCGGAUCAGGUGGCGAGGCUUCUGCUCUCCCGCCCCUCUCCCCAUCACACUCAGCAGGCGGGGCCGAGAAGAGGGAGGGAGGGAGGAGAAGGGGAGUGGGGACCCAGAAGAGGGAAGGGAGGAGGGAGAGAGGAGAGGACACUGGAGAAGGGGAGGCAGGAGGAUGAAAGGAGGAGGGGGAGGGGGGCAGGCAAACGCUGUCAAGGCGAUGUCCUAGAAUUUCAGAGCUGAACUAGCCCAGAGAAUGGCAGCGCUGGCAAGGACCUCGGAGCAGCCUCGAACGAGCCCGACCUCAGCCCAUCGGGAGCGGAGCUGGAGCGGACCGCGCAGAACUUCCGAGCCAGAGCCCCAAAGCCCCAGGACUCAGAACCCGGGCUGGCCAGGGAGCUUUACGAGACCCAGACUGAGCGGGACCUUCGGCGCACUCGGUUUUCCCGAGUGACUGGAACCCAGAACCUAGAAUGGCGUAGCUGAGGGUCCUCCCAGCCUCCACCGGAAAAUGUCAGAGCUUGGCUCGCAGGAUAGUGACUGCCUAACAGGGGCCCCCCUGGGCUGGACUCCUGAGGAGGCACCAAUGCCCUGUGCCCACGGAGCCUCAUGAUGAGGAAGGGGAGCUUCUGCAACCCCUAGAAACUCGGGUGGGUCCCGACAUGCCCACAAAUGGCCUUGUGCAAGACAGGAGGAGGUGGUGUGGAGGACAGCCCGGCAGCCUGCUGGGAGAAGCGCCAGCGGCAGCAAAGGGUGCAUGGAAAGAGCCAUUUAAAAGCGGGGCCUUGAGAUCUUGAUGGGAACAUGGGGUGAAGGGAGCUCUGCUGGGGGUCCGUGAGGAAAGGCCCAGAGUCGGCCGGGGCACUGGUCCACAAGCCCCUCUUGUGUCAGCCUGGGGCCUUCUCUGUGGCUGCCUCCCCAGCCUCAAAGGCCUUCCCUCCUCUGCUUCCCCAACCCCUGAAUGUGUGUUUUCCCUUAGUUCUUUGCCACGGGUCCCGUAGGUGAGUUGUACAUUUGCUUAUCGUUUCCCCCACCAGAUCGAGCUCCUCGAAGGGGGAGGGGGAGACUGGGUUUGACCUUUUGGGCUUGGCACAUGUUCCGCCAUGCUCGACGCUUCCCGACCCUCUGGAGUUUUCUUGGCAAAGGUCCUGGCUGGUCAUUUUCUUCUGCAGCUCACUGUGCUUCUGAGGAAGAAGAUUGAGCUCCUUGUCCGGGGAGUUCAGAUUUGAACUGGAGAAAACUCAUCUUCUGCUGAUACUCAGUGCUUACUGCCCAAUGCGCCCCCUGGUACCCGCCUGCUGCAUAGCAGGCACCAAACGAUGGACCGGCCGGAAGUCAUGGCAAAUGAAGCUGGAGAGGCCAAGUGCAACCCCACCAGCCAAGCCCCAGAGGGGCAGGCCAGGCAGCCGGCAUGGAGGAGACGGGCUGGAGGCAGCGGGCAUGGAGACGCGCAGGAAGGGGCCUGCUCUGGGAAGAAGGGACUAAACGGAGCCAGGCUGGAGCCUGGGAGUCCUGGCUAAAGGGGAAAGUGACAAAAUGAACUGGGUUCUAUUGGGAGAAGGGGGUGGCCGUCGGACCCUGAGAGGGGCAAGUCCGAGAGGAACCCCAGAGCUGCUGUGGUUCAGCCUUUGUCUCACUGUCGAUGGAGACAAGCACCAGAGUCUCAGUGUAGGCUCUCAAACUGGGAGGGGCCUAGAACAGGGAACGUCAGAGCUGGAAGGGGCUAACGAUACAGGGAAUACAACGAGUUGGCUUUAGAAGUGAUCUAGCUUAGCACUUGGUUAGAGAAAAGGACUUUGGCCUGUCCAGGGGAAGGGUCUUAGUAAGGUCACAUCAUCCAACCCACCUGAGGUUCCCUCCCCAUUUCCCCUCCCCUCACUAUAGGCUCACUUGCAGCUUCUACUAGGCAGGUUCACACUCCCACUGGGAUGGCCUGGUAGCCUUACCCAGAAAGGUCCAGGGCCGCCUGCCUGCCUUCCUUCCACUCUUCUACAAGUCUUUACCUAAUGGCAUCAGGGAGCCCUUUCACUCCUUCCUAUUGCCUGUCUCAUCCCUCAGAGUCCUGUCCCAGCUAACCUCUCACCUCGGGCCCUUUCGGCCAAGAGCCUCAAUUUACCCUUUCGGGAGAGAGACCGUUUCUCAGGAACUUUAUGCCCCCAAAGCCUCUUAACAUUCCCAAUUUCCUUUUUCCUUUUUCUAGUCUCUGAUAAAGAGGUAAACCUUUUGAGAAUGUGUAUCAGCCUCCCUCAUAGUGGGGGACGCCUCGUGUCUCUGUCCUGGACUCCCUUAUCAAGGGGUUGUGGCACGGAUCCAGGAAGUUCCUAAGAGGGGUGGGUAUAAAAAGCCCAGAAAUGUUAAUGACCCCAACUGUCUGGAGUGGGAUGUCUACAGUGGCGAUGGUUCACUUUUGAGUCCUGCACAACUCUUCAUGGCCCCAUUUGGGGUUUUCUUGAGAAAGACCCUGUAGGGGUUUGCCAUUUUCAGCUCAUUUUACAGGUGAACUGAGGCAAAGAGUGAGGUGACUUGCCCAGGGUCACCUAGCUAGGAAGUAUCUAAGGCCGAGAUUUGAAUAGGAAAUUGUCCUCCUGGACAGGGCCUCCACUGUGACGUCACUUAGCUGCUCGGUCUGUGUUAGUAGCUAAUAUUUCUAGGCCAAUUUAGGUUUGCAAAGCGUUUUCCAUUAACUUCUCUGAUCUUUAUAAUUCUCUAAAUUAGGUGUUAGGAACUCCAUUUUACAAAUGAGGAAACCGAGGCACACGGUUUAAGUGACUUGGCGAGGGUCACACAACUCAUGUUCAGUCAUCCCCCAAAUGGGUGGGCUGUGGUCCAUGAUUGUGAUGGGAUACUGUUGCGCUAUAAGACGGACUUACAUGAACUGAUGCUGAGUGAAGUGAGCAGAACAAGGAGAACCGUGUACAUAGUAAAGCAACCUUAGUUGCUCAAUUCUGAAACACUUAGUUACUCGGGUCAAUCAGUGAUCUAAGACGGUUCCAAAGGCCCGUGAUGAAAAUGCUUUGUCCCCCAGAGAAAAAAUAGACUUGAGUGAAAAUUGAAGUCGAAUUUUCUCUUAUUUUUGUGUGUUUUUUUGUGCAGCAAGACGAAUAUGAAAACGUUUUGAAUGACGACUUCUCGAGGGGUGGGGGGGACAGGAAAGAGAAUUUGGAACCCAACAUUUUAAAUGAUUGUUAAAAUGUUUUAAUGUAAUUGGGAAACGGCUGAAAUAAAAAGAGUUUGGAAGAUAA